rnacentral:rRNA from 1 species
AUUGAACGCUGGCGGCAUGCCUUACACAUGCCAGUCGAACGGCAGCACGGGUGCUUGCACCUGGUGGCGAGUGGCGAACGGGUGAGUAAUACAUCGGAACAUGUCCUGUAGUGGGGGAUAGCCCGGCGAAAGCCGGAUUAAUACCGCAUACGAUCUACGGAUGAAAGCGGGGGACCUUCGGGCCUCGCGCUAUAGGGUUGGCCGAUGGCUGAUUAGCUAGUUGGUGGGGUAAAGGCCUACCAAGGCGACGAUCAGUAGCUGGUCUGAGAGGACGACCAGCCACCCGGGGAAUGAGAAACGGCCCAGACCCCCACGGGAGGCAGAAGGGGGGAAUUUGGGACAAGGGGCGAAAGCCUGAUCCAGAAAUGCCGCGUGGGUGAAGAAGGCCUUCGGGUUGUAAAGCACUUUUGUCCGGAAAAAAAUCCUUGGCCCUAAAACGGCCGGGGGAUGACGGUACCGGAAGAAUAAGCACCGGCUAACUACGG